CCUACGGGAGGCAGCAGUAGGGAAUAUUGCUCAAUGGGGGAAACCCUGAAGCAGCAACGCCGCGUGGAGGAUGACGGUUUUCGGAUUGUAAACUCCUUUUUUUAGAGAAGAUAAUGACGGUAUCUAACGAAUAAGCACCGGCUAACUCCGUGCCAGCAGCCGCGGUAAUACGGCGGGUGCAAGCGUUACUCGGAAUCACUGGGCGUAAAGCGCGCGUAGGCGGGAUAGCAAGUCAGAUGUGAAAUCCUAUGGCUUAACCAUAGAACUGCAUUUGAAACUGUUAUUCUAGAGUAUGGGAGAGGUAGGCGGAAUGCUUGGUGUAGGGGUAAAAUCCGUAGAGAUCAAGAGGAAUACUCAUUGCGAAGGCGACCUGCUAGAACAUAACUGACGCUGAUGCGCGAAAGCGUGGGGAGCAAACAGGAUUAGAUACCCUUGUAGUC
rnacentral:rRNA from 1 species